rnacentral:tRNA from 1 species
GACCCAUUAGCUCAGUUGGCAGAGCACCUGACUUUUAAUCAGGGUGUCCCGCGUUCGAAUCGCGGAUGGGUCACCA